rnacentral:rRNA from 1 species
ACAUAUCAAUAAGCGGAGGAAAAGAAACUAACAAGGAUUCCCCUAGUAACUGCGAGUGAAGCGGGAAAAGCUCAAAUUUAAAAUCUGGCAGUCUUUGAUUGUCCGAGUUGUAGUCUGGAGAAGCGUCUUCCGCGCUGGACCGUGUACAAGUCUCUUGGAACAGAGCGUCAUAGAGGGUGAGAAUCCCGUCUUUGACACGGACUACCAGUGCUUUGUGAUGCGCUCUCAAAGAGUCGAGUUGUUUGGGAAUGCAGCUCAAAAUGGGUGGUAAAUUCCAUCUAAAGCUAAAUAUUGGCGAGAGACCGAUAGCGAACAAGUACCGUGAGGGAAAGAUGAAAAGCACUUUGGAAAGAGAGUUAAACAGUACGUGAAAUUGCUGAAAGGGAAACGCUUGAAGUCAGUCGCGUUUGCUAGUACUCAGCCUUCCUUUUGGUUGGUGCAUUUACUAGUGAACGGGCCAGCAUCAGUUUUGGCUGCGGGAUAAAGGUCAGAGAAAUGUGGCACCUUCGGGUGUGUUAUAGUCUCUGGUCAUAUACCGUGGCUGGGACUGAGGAUCUCAGCAUGCCUUUAUGGCGGGGGUUCGCCCACCUUCAUGCUUCGGAUGCUGGCGUAAUGGCUUUAAACGACCCGUCUUGAAACACGGACCAAGGAGUCUAACAUGCCUGCGAGUGUUUGGGUGGAAAACCCGAGCGCGUAAUGAAAGUAAUAGUUGGGAUCUCUGUCGUGGAGAGCACCGACGCCCGGACCAGACCUUCUGUGACGGAUCCGCGGUAGAGCAUGUAUGUUGGGACCCGAAAGAUGGUGAACUAUGCCUGAAUAGGGUGAAGCCAGAGGAAACUCUGGUGGAGGCUCGUAGCGAUUCUGACGUGCAAAUCGAUCGUCAAAUUUGGGUAUAGGGGCGAAAGACUAAUCG